AACGAACGCUGGCGGCAGGCCUAACACAUGCAAGUCGAACGCCCUAGCAAUAGGGAGUGGCAGACGGGUGAGUAACGCGUGGGAACGUACCCUUCGGUUCGGAAUAACCCAGGGAAACUUGGACUAAUACCGGAUACGUGCGAGAGCAGAAAGAUUUAUCGCCGAAGGAUCGGCCCGCGUCCGAUUAGCUAGUUGGUGAGGUAAUGGCUCACCAAGGCGACGAUCGGUAGCUGGCCNGAGAGGAUGAUCAGCCACACUGGGACUGAGACACGGCCCAGACUCCUACGGGAGGCAGCAGUGGGGAAUAUUGGACAAUGGGCGCAAGCCUGAUCCAGCCAUGCCGCGUGAGUGAUGAAGGCCCUAGGGUUGUAAAGCUCUUUCGCCAGGGACGAUAAUGACGGUACCUGGAUAAGAACGCCCCGGCUAACUUCGUGCCAGCCGCCGCCGUAAG
rnacentral:rRNA from 1 species